UAAUGAGUGGCCAGAGCUAUUAAGAUUUUCCCUGUGUCUCCAGAUAGGCUGGCAAACAAACAUCACUAAACAAUGGAGAGUCUAAGGCUGGCUAUUAAGAGUUUGAUCUGGUUCUAUAAGUAGAGUAGGAUUUAAGAUCAGCACAAGAAAGUUUUUCACUUGAUCAGCUGAAGUGCUAAUUGUGACAAUGAAGUACAGCAUACAAAGGAUGACUACAGAAAAAGACCCAAAUCUGUUCCAAGUGACCAGGCUCAUUAGAACACUGAAGACAUGAACAGCAAUAUGAAGAAUUUACACUUGUUUAGAAGUCACACAAGAAAUAGAAUUUAUUCAGUUCUUCACUUCCCCAAGUACAGUUUUGUUGGCUUCAAGGGGUUGUUCCCAAAUUACAUUGGUGUCAGGCUGGAAUGAAAUCAACUCAGUUCAAGCACCCCAAACAUCAUUCUCACCUGCAAAACAUCACUGGCUUCCACCACUCUCAAAGGUUAAAGUCAGUGAGCAAAAACCAUGUGCAUUUGGUGGAUGGUUGUUCUGAUGACUGACAGAAGGCAAAAAAUACAACUACAGGAGCAUGGCACAGCAGAAAUCAGCUCAUUGGAGAUGGCAGAUGGACAGAACAGUAGUAGUUAUGCUUAAUUUUAUAUUUUUGCCAUUAUUUUGUUCAUUAAAUAUUUUAAAAAUCAUUUGGGCAAUUGUACCUGUGAGAUUGUGAUUAGCUAUAAGAUUUAAAGUAUACCUUUGGAUAAUUUCAAAUUGUUUUCUGUCUUUAUUUGACUGAACUUGACACAUUGAAACUGAAUCAAACCAUUGAUUUAUCAGAAGUGUUUUUUUCCUCAUACUAGAUCUGUGCAGAUCUAAGUUAUAAUGCAGGAAAGCAGUAGAAAGUUGCACCUGUAAAUAUUUUAGAGAAAACUGCUGUUCUGUGGAACUUUAUGCUGCUUUU